rnacentral:rRNA from 1 species
CCCUUAGAUGUUCUGGGCCGCACGCGCGCUACACUGAUGCAUUCAACGAGUCCAACCUUGACCGAGAGGUCCGGGUAAUCUUUGAAACUGCAUCGUGAUGGGGCUAGAUUAUUGCAAUUAUUAAUCUUCAACGAGGAAUGCCUAGUAAGCGUGAUUCAUCAAAUCGCGUUGAUUACGUCCCUGCCCUUUGUACACACCGCCCGUCGCUCCUACCGAUUGAGUGUGUUGGUGAGGAGUUUGGAUUGGCCUCGGAAGGUGGUUCGCCACCGUCCGUAGCUGAGAAGUUCUCCAAACCGCCCCACUUAGAGGAAGGAGAAGUCGGAACA